UGCCUUACGUGUUGCCCUUUCAUUGCUCUCCUCAAUGAAUGUGGCGUCAGCAAAGGCAAACAGCAACUCUUGGGUCGGCCUUUGGCGGGGUCCCGCCGGUGACCCGGUCAUAAGUUCCAUCCCAAGAACAGAC
ensembl:snoRNA